rnacentral:rRNA from 1 species
AGUCGGAUUUCGGGGCGGGCCGACCGGUCUGCCGAUGGGUAUGCACUGGCCGGCGCGUCCUUCCACCCGGAGACCGCGCCUACUCUUAACUGAGCGGGCGCGGGAGACGGGUCUUUUACUUUGAAAAAAUCAGAGUGUUUCAAGCAGGCAGUCGCUCUUGCAUGGAUUAGCAUGGGAUAAUGAAAUAGGACUCUGGUGCUAUUUUGUUGGUUUCGAACACCGGAGUAAUGAUUAACAGGGACAGUCAGGGGCACUCGUAUUCCGCCGAGAGAGGUGAAAUUCUCAGACCAGCGGAAGACGAACCACUGCGAAAGCAUUUGCCAGGGAUGUUUUCACUGAUCAAGAACGAAAGUUAGGGGAUCGAAGACGAUCAGAUACCGUCGUAGUCUUAACCAUAAACCAUGCCGACUAGGGAUUGGAGGAUGUUCCAUUUGUGACUCCUUCAGCACCUUUCGGGAAACUAAAGUCUUUGGGUUCCGGGGGGAGUAUGGUCGCAAGGCUGAAACUUAAAGGAAUUGACGGAAGGGCACCACCAGGAGUGGAGCCUGCGGCUUAAUUUGACUCAACACGGGGAAACUUACCAGGUCCAGACAUUGUGAGGAUUGACAGAUUGAGAGCUCUUUCUUGAUUCGAUGGGUGGUGGUGCAUGGCCGUUCUUAGUUGGUGGAGUGAUUUGUCUGGUUAAUUCCG